CGUGUUCCUCUGCAUAACUGGAUGUGGGGAAGCACCUUACGUGAUUAUGUGAUGAUUCUUACAAUCCUGCCAAUUGUGUCACAUAUGGAUAAGAGGAUAUAUAUUCUAGAAUAUCACAAAAACACACAUUUUUACUCAGGUUGUCAUUGAUUGGUUGAUUCAACAACAUUUUGGUGCCUUGCAAUAUGAUUUUCACAAUCGUAUCAAUGCAAGCUCAUAGGUACCAUCUGUAUAAAUUUCAGAUUAACUAUCUCAGUCUCGAAGUUUAUAGAUUUGGUGGUUCGUUUGCAAGUACGUGAACAACAAGUUAAGCAAUAAGUACAAGGCGGCGAGGAGAGUUGCAAAUCGAUGACCAGCACUUCACAUUACAAAAUUUUCAUUCUUUUUUUUCCUGGCUCAUGUUCGUAUUUUGUUUCGGAGACAAAGAAUAAUCGAGUUUUGAUUGGGACCCUGUUGUGGGAGAAACGGCUAUAUUUGAAGGGUACAAAAACUAUUUUGAGCAGCUAACUACACUUUUUUUUAUAACAGCAGCUAACUACACUUGGAAUGAGUAGUUGCUUCUGCUUGAGGACGCCAUGGACAAGUUGCUCUGGCCCUGGCGCCGCAGCCAUGGAUAUACAUGUCUAAUUGUUGCUCUUAUGUAAUUUGGUUGCUUUUGAGUAGUUGGUCUCAAAGAAUUUCAUGGUUGCCUGGAUGUUGUAUUAGUUAAGCUAUUUCUAGAUCUGCCACAGGCUGAGUAUUAUAACUGUGAUUUGGUCGUAUUGGUAGCCUCCCGAGCUAAACUUUUGUAGGUUUUCUUAGCUUGUUUCUGUGAAUAGGAUUUGGUUUAGUUCUCAAUUGUACUUUGUUGUUAAUGGUUGUUCGGAUGGGUGUGGCCUCUUUGAAGUCGUGGUUAUGUUUUCAUUUGCACUAGGCUGGUCGUGUUGGUAGCCUCGCGUCGUAGUCUUGAUUUGAUACGUCCAAUUAUGAUUUAGACUUUAUUUUGCACAUCUUAUUUCUUAUACUUCAUAAGUUGACAAAGCUGCUCACAUAAGGUCAUUUUCUUUUCAUGGUUUCUCAGUUUGUAUAGUUUACUUGAAUGUUGAUAUGCUUCUCUGCAGAAUGCUUUUGUAGUUUCCUGUUCAUGGGGUACUCUUCAUUAGUGAGUUAUUUUUUCUUUGAAUGGUUAAGCAAUCCACGAUUCACUAUGAAUGAAGUGGGAGGUCUAAGGUAGUGCUUCACUCUUAUGUUAUUCUGUGUUCACUGUGUGUUCUGUGUGAUGCUUAACAAUACUUAUGUUCUGCAGGGAACAACUAAGGUUAUAUUGCAAGGUGUGAUGAUGCCCGCCUUUUGGAGAAUGUUCAACUUUUAUAGACCUAUUAGCUUGCUAUGCUUGACGACUAAACGCUUGCUGCUGCACUUCUGUUAUUUAUAUUCUUUUUUGAACAACUAGCGCUCGUCUGUGUUGUGUAUGAGUGAACACUGCAACGAUCUAUUUCAGUUAAGUGCACUUGUUUUUAACAUAUGGUGCUCAUCUGGGCUGCAAAAGCACAUGCAUACG
rnacentral:lncRNA from 1 species